UCAUACUUAAUGACCCAAUAGAAGGAGACCCUCGAUAAGCGUCGAUCCCAAUCUGUCUUGCGGCAGGCCAUAAAACUCCAAACUUAAUUCUCCGAAGGUUCGAAAUAGAUUUUCCCGCCCCCGAUAUUCUCCCAAACGCAUUUGGCCGGUCCCGCGGCAUUCAACCCCCGUAUAAAAAUUCAUCCCCCAAUUCCCUCAAAACGCUCGGUAUUCCGCGAGGCUUCACGAUACCGCUUAUUUUUCGUCGACGGUUGGAUGAACGAUCGUACGGGGAUGAAAUCGGGUGACGUCCCUCGAAUCUUAAGCUUCGCAUCCAACGUCAGCAUAUCUGGUGAUAUACGUGGCAAGAAAUCACUAACAAUAAGAAAAGACGUGCAGUCUGUUCCGGUCUUAAAACCAUCCAUUUGAUCCCGAGACGUUUAUUUCCUUUUCUUUCACCAUGAAGUAAGAUAUCUGCGCGUGAUUCAUGGAGAUCAAAAUUUCAUAAUUGAUUUGAGUUAGCGUUAGAAAGAGAGCCAGAGAGAGAGAGAGAGAGACGGUGAAAGAGACAGAUUGAUCAAAGUGUGGCGGUAUUUGCCAGAAUACAUCGAAGUAUUAAGUUACCGUAUAAGCGCAUGUAGGUCACCGCAAUUUACGGGGAAACUUCAUUGCAACGUUUGCAAUUCCCACCCCCUCCCUCCCCCCGGCUGUGUAUGUACGCAUCUCCCUUGACUCCACGCGAAAAUUUGACGACGAGAGUGCAAAAUUGUUCUACGUUCGAGUUUUGCCGGCAUUUUUCCCGGGCAACGCGACAAAAAUGUUUUCGUUCUGCGGAUGGCAGCUUGCCCUCGGCCAUUCAUGAAACGUCUCUGUGCAACGAGGCAUUCCAGUCUCGCUCUCUCGUCCGUUUCAGAGAAAAUGCGCGUGCUGCGGGAGGUACUGUAAACUGUAUUAUUCCAUCGUCGGUGCCGCCGACGGUCAAUAAUUGCGCACCGCAAUCCGAGGCGCGUGAAACGUGCCGCGUUCUUGCUUUUCCGAUUCAAUGGAUGGGAUAUAGCGUGUGGAUGUCCCUGGUUUUGAUCUUUUAUUCCGCGUGCGGGAUAUAAUUACGUUGUCCGCAUCGUGAUAUCUGCUGACGUUGUUCCCGCGCAUCGCGCAUCGAGGGGUUCAAUAAACAAUAGGUAAAACGUAUAAUAUCCAAAUGUAUGUACUCCACAGCUCGGGCGGAAAGAUAAAGGGCCCCGGGUCCCUUGCAAACUCCGCCGCGAGUGGCUGCGAAAGAAUGCAAAAUUAAUUGGCGCGUUCCGGAAGUUUUAUGUUGCCCUCGACAACUUGGGGGAGAAGAACAUUGAGUCGGAAGGGAGACUGCGUUGAUGCUCAAGUCGGUACCGCAUGAUCCCGACUAGAAAUGUUGUCAGGUUUACCUAAUAUGUUACGAGGACCUGACGUGGUUGGCGUAAGGUAAUCCUGUGUUGCGGAUUAGCGGUCUUUUCGAAAUGACCGGCCGCAGCGGUACUGCGCGACCGUCGGCGGAGUAAUACAAGAGCGAGCGGAGAGCGGUGGUGGCGCGGCAGUCUUCUUCUUACCUCGCAAUCUGCGAUUUCUGCGUAGCAAAUCGCUUGCGAAAAGCUUUGUGUGGUUCUUUGUGAGACAAGGCGAGUUCGAGUGGACGACCAACGAGAGACGGGUUCACCUGAAACGCCCAGCGGUGACGAAAGAGAGAUAAGGGCUUCUGCCACUGAGCGGACACUCGAAUAACCUAGACAGCCUUCGGGUGUGUGAAAGAAUCAAAGCCGACUCGUUACUAACAGAGGUUGCCUUCGGGUGACAGAGUUCUUGUGGACUCUUGCAGCUUCAUCCAUUACAUGUACGUGUGCUCUCCGGAGCAGCUCACUCGCUGAUUUCUUAGUCAGCCGCUUUACGGUGCCUCUAAUAACUGAGGUGGUAACGUUCUUCGAGCGUUCUCUUAACCACUUCUUUCAGGAAUUAUCCCAACAGUUUCUUUACAGGCGUUGAACGAACAAGAUCUUCGAAGAGCGACCUCCCUCAGCGUCAUUCAAGGGGCCGGAGCACGAAAAUCUCGCCCGUACACGACACAUCACAUGAUAUUUGUCAAGCCUGCUGCCUCGAUUAAUUUACUACGGAAUUACUUGUUUCUUUUCUUAAUUUUAGUAAAGUGUGCAAUCAAAUCAA